AUGCCACAUCAUCAAUUCGAGCCCUGAAGAACUAACACGUGUCACUCAGUAAUGAAACUCACCGUUUCAUUAAACAAAAAAAGGAGAUUUGUGGGAUUUUGUUCAGUUAUUGGUCCGUAAAGUGUCUCUUCUUUGUAGUUGUGAAGCCGACCCUCAUGUCUAGGGUUCAUCGCCUACUGCGUUUUCCAUCAACGGAGGUCCUGAGUCUUUAAUGGAGGUUUAUCACUUUCGUCAGUAAUCGUUGCGUUUAUGUUGGUUCGCGUCGUUUCGUUAUCUAUUCUUCUCCUCACAUGAGUUACAAGUUGCAUUGAUUCAACUUCAUUAACGAGAUCUUAACUCUUACCACCAUCUGCAACCAAGAUCAUUCAUUCAAUGAUUCGUAUCCCUCUUCCAAUCGGUGGAUAUCCACCUAUAAUUUGAAAUCCGGCCAUUAAUUGUUUCUUCCAACAUGGGGGUGACGUUGCUCAGAUUCUGGGAAACUAGGAACUUCAAACGAUGUGGCUCUUUUCAGCUAGCAUUACUCGCCUCAACAGCUUAAACAAGAGAACCCGUGAUGUGAUCGCUUCAAGUUUCAUUCAAGCUACCCUUGCACCAUUCUGCAACACUUUGUCAUGAUGCGUUGGGUCAGUAAACACUUCUGAAUCUCUUGCUUCGCAAUACAACCUUUAUGACCAAGCAGAGAAGUUGAGAUCAAAAGUACCAAGAUUUGAAGCACGUUCUAACCAACAUGUUUAUCUUUUAGUAGUUAUUUUUUCAUACCAAUUGGUUAUUGUAGCUUUCUAGAUUAUAGUUUAUAUUAUUUCUCUGAUCUCUCA